AGGACUAACGCUGGCGGCGUGCCUAACACAUGCAAGUCGAACGAGAGUAGCAAUACUCUAGUGGCAGACGGGUGAGUAACACGUGGUCAACCUACCUCUAUGUGGGGGAUAACUAGCCGAAAGGUUAGCUAAUACCGCAUACGAUCGUCGAGCGGCAUCGCUUGACGAUGAAAGGAGCAAUCCGCAGAGAGACGGGACCGCGUCCCAUUAGCUAGUUGGUGGGGUAAUGGCCUACCAAGGCGACGAUGGGUAGCUGGCUUGAGAGAGCGACCAGCCACACUGGGACUGAGACACGGCCCAGACUCCUACGGGAGGCAGCAGUGAGGAAUUUUCCGCAAUGGGCGAAAGCCUGACGGAGCGACGCCGCGUGUGGGAAGAAGGCCUUCGGGUCGUAAACCACUGUCGAAGGGGAAGAUAUUGACGGUACCCUUGGAGGAAGCCCCGGCUAACUACGUGCCAGCAGCCGC
rnacentral:rRNA from 1 species